rnacentral:rRNA from 1 species
UACGUAGGGUGCAAGCGUUGUCCGGAAUUAUUGGGCGUAAAGAGCUCGUAGGCGGUUCGUCGCGUCGGCUGUGAAAACCUGAGGCUCAACCUCAGGCCUGCAGUCAAUACGGGCGGACUUGAGUACUGCAGGGGAGACUGGAAUUCCUGGUGUAGCGGUGAAAUGCGCAGAUAUCAGGAGGAACACCGGUGGCGAAGGCGGGUCUCUGGGCCGUAACUGACGCUGAGGAGCGAAAGCGUGGGGAGCGAACAGG